UUAGUCCAAGUGGCUGCCAGGAAGAAGCUGGCCAAGACAGAGCAUCAGAAUCAGACCAAGAGCUGCCAUCCCUGCUUGAUGAGCCUGUGGCUUCUGAGAUGCCUGCUGGAUACAUUAAAGAUCUUCAAGCAGUGGAGAUGAGGAUAAUUGUGGAACUGGA